CCCUAAUGAACAAGAACCUGACCCUGUGGGGUUAUGACAUACCUGGCGAAAGUCACUUUGGUCCAUAUGAAGUGGCUUUCAAACAUUGCCGGAGUUCCAACUGCGCAUCUAUGUCGUGCGGCAACACAAACUACUGCUUCCUGAAGUACGAGACCCACCUCACGGCCGGUGUGGCCCUCACACCAAGCCCCUCCCUCUACUGGUACGUCCUCUGCCACUAAACCACCUGCUGCUUCACACUGAUAACACACAGCUGAAACAUGCUGGAGGGGUGGCAGGAAGACUUCUGACAUGGAUGAACAACUUUCUGACAGGAAAAAUAACGGCGGUAAUCAGAGACAAUAGAUGAAACAGGGGAAAUAUAGAUUGUGCAGUAAUUCAAGAUUAAAUUCUAGCACCAAUAAUGUUCAUUGUCUAUAUAAACGAUUUUCCAGAAGGAAUACAAAAUUAAAUGAACAUGUUUGCUGAAAAGGCUCAGCUAUUUGGGACGAGAGAGAGACUUUGAAGAUUGUCAUGACCUUCAAGAUGGUCAGGACAAAAUAAAUAUAAUUGUAAAAUGCUUAGCUAUAUGAAUUUUUGGAUACAGAUCCUGAGCCCAUAAUGUACCUCUUUAACCUUUUCCACUACCGCCCACGUCAUGGGUAUGGGGUGCAUAAUAAAUGAACUAAACUAA